rnacentral:rRNA from 1 species
GACGAACGCUGGCGGCGUGCUUAACACAUGCAAGUCGAACGGAAAGGCCCUGCUUUUGUGGGGUGCUCGAGUGGCGAACGGGUGAGUAACACGUGAGUAACCUGCCAUUGACUUUGGGAUAACUUCAGGCAACUGGGGCUAAUACCGGCUAGGAGCUCCUGCUGCAUGGUGGGGGUUGGAAAGUUUCGGCGGUUGGGGAUGGACUAGCGGCUUAUCAGCUUGUUGGUGGGGUAGUGGCUUACCAAGGCUUUGAAGGGUGGCCGGGCUGAGAGGGUGACAGGCCAAACUGGGACUGAGAUGCGGCACAGACUCCUACGGGAGGCAGCAGUGCGGAAGAGUGUACAAUAGGCGGAAGCCUGAUGCAGCAACGCCGCGUGCGGGAUGACGGCCUUCGGGUUGUAAUCCGCUUUCGCCUGUGACGAAGCGUGAGUGACGGUAAUGGGUAAAGAAGCACCGGCUAACUACGUG